GUCCCACAGCAAUUCCCAUGUCCCACAGCAAUUCCCAGGUCCCACGGCAAUUCCCAUGUCCCACAGCAAUUCCCAGGUCCUGCAGCAAUUCCCAGGUCCCGCAGCAAUUCCCAUGUCCCACAGCAAUUCCCAGGUCCUGCAGCAAUUC